GCUUGUCUCAAAGAUUAAGCCAUGCAUGUCUAAGUAUAAACAAAUCUAUACUGUGAAACUGCGAAUGGCUCAUUAUAUCAGUUAUAGUUUAUUUGAUGGUUCUUGCUACUUGGAUAACCGUAGUAAUUCUAGAGCUAAUACAUGCAUCAAACCCCGACUUCUGGAAGGGGUGUAUUUAUUAGAUGGAAACCAAUGCGGGGCAACCCGGAUUCUGGUGAUUCAUAAUAACCAAGCGAAUCGUCGGUUUACCGACGAUAGAUCGUUCAAGUUUCUGACCUAUCAGCUUUGGUCGGUAGGGUAUUGGCCUACCGAGGCAAUGACGGGUAACGGAGAAUUAGGGUUCGAUUCCGGAGAGGGAGCCUGAGAAACGGCUACCACAUCUAAGGAAGGCAGCAGG
rnacentral:rRNA from 1 species